rnacentral:rRNA from 1 species
AUACAGAGGGUGCGAGCGUUAAUCGGAAUUACUGGGCGUAAAGCGCGCGUAGGCGGCUUGGUCAGUCGGAUGUGAAAGCCCCGGGCUCAACCCGGGAAUGGCAUUCGAUACUGCCAGGCUAGAGUAUGGGAGAGGGAAGUGGAAUUUCCGGUGUAGCGGUGAAAUGCGUAGAUAUCGGAAGGAACACCAGUGGCGAAGGCGACUUCCUGGCCCAAUACUGACGCUGAGGUGCGAAAGCGUGGGGAGCGAACAGGAUUAGAAACCCCAGUAGUCC